rnacentral:lncRNA from 1 species
CUGAGUUUAAUCUCUUAGAAACUCAUAUUACUUGUACAAAUUUUUCUUGUGUUUCUACAGUUAGACUCGGGCCUAUGCAUGCUCACACCCCAGCACUUACAUAAAUACAAUUUAAGCCCAAAUAAGGGAUACUCAGAGCUAAUGGCUCCUUGGGGUUUAUCUGUAGACCUCACCUAGUAGACGAAGAUAACAGAUACCUGUAAGGUCUUCUCUCACUGCAAGCUACACACCAUGGCACAGGUGUAUAUCUACAAACACUGUACCAUUGUAUGGUGAAAUUAGCAAAGCAAUGAAAAUCACCAGAUUAUUGGGAACAUAUGAAAUGAUUCACAGUUGAAAUUAUUGUUAUUAUCCGAUUUCAUAUGAGCCCGCAAGGACACAUGUCAGUUAAUGUAAUUUUUGUUUCCUGUAAGGAGAGAAAAGGAACAUGCAAGCCUGAAGAUUGAUUUGUCUGAAUAGGAUCAUAUUCUGCUUUCUUGAUGUACUUAGGAGCCCUGAGUGGUGGUGACUCUGAAUGACGUCAAGUUCUUUGUUUUUUGUUUUUGAUUUGUUUUUCGUUUUUGUUUUGUUUUGUUUUGUUUUUGGUCUGAGGAACCUGAACCUCAAACAGAAGUCACUGUAAGGCUACAUACAUGAGGCAUUUGCAAAAGAGCCAUGGAUUAGGGAUGAACAGCUUAGAGUCCAGUGCUUCCAGUCCAGUGCCCAGGUCUCACCCAGGUCUCACCCAGCUAAAAUUUAUGCUCUGAAGACAGACCUCUGAAUUCUUUUGCAGUGCUUAAAAAAAAAAAUAGUGUGCUUGUUGUCAAGGUUCUGGUGACAAUGGAUGCUGAUUCAUAGGAUAAUCAAAAGCGACCCUACAAUAAAGAAUUAAAUUGACGUGUAAAUUAAAACCUUGGCUUUUGGUCUGCUUUAGAUCAACUAGCAAAAAGCUGCAGCACUUCCUAUUUAAAUUUUUUUUUUUUUCCUUUAGCUAGACCUGAGCAGUCUGCAGUCUGGACAUAUCUCGAAAACCUAAACAGUUCUUGAAAAAAAUUUUUCAGUGGGAAUUUCUGAUAUUGUUUGGAAAAUCUAUGGAGAGAAAACACAACUCUUUUUAGAAAUUUUCUAGCUCUUUUAGAAUUCUUUCAAAAGCAGAUAUCUAAAGAACAUUUCACAUUAAGACAAAAGAAUAUGCCUGCUUCUAAGCACCUCACAGAAAAUUCUCCAAAAUUAACCUUAUAAUUGGAGACAAAAUUCUCAACAGAAUAAUCUAGAAUGUCUGAGAAACACUUAAAGAAAUGUUGAAACUCCUUACUUAUUAGGAAAAUGCAAAUCAAAACAACCCUGAGAUUUCUCCUAAACAAUCAAAGUGGCUAAUGUAAAAAACUCAGGUAAGAGCACCUGCUCCCAAGGGUGUGGAGAAAGGGACCCCUCCACUCCUGGUGGGAUUGUAAAACUGAAUAACCACUCUGAAAGUCAAUCUAGCCAUCCUCAGAAAAUUGGAAGUAGUUGUACACACAAGGUACUCUUGUCCCUUGAUUGAAUAAGAAAAUGUGCUCUGGGAGACUGAAAGAAUGUCUUUUCUUUUCUUUUUUUCUUUUUUUUUUUUAAGAUUUAUUUAUUUUAUAUAUGUGAGUACACUGUCUUCAGACACACCAGAAGAGUGCAUCAGAUCCCAUUACAAAUGGCUGUGAGCCACCAUGUGGUUGCUGGGAAUUGAACUCAGGACCUCUGGAAGAGCAGUUAGUGCUCUUAACUGAUGAGCCAUCUCUCCAGCCCCAAGAAUUUCUCUCUCUUUUUUUUUUAAAGAUUUAUUUAUUAUUAUAUGUAAGUACACUGUAGCUGGUUUUAGGCACACCGGAGGAGGGCAUCAGAUCUCAUUGUGAGUGGUUGUGAGCCAUCAUGUGGUUUAUGGGAUUUGAACUCAGGACCUUCAGAAGAGCAGUCAGUGCUCUUACCCUGUGAGCCAUCUCUCCAGCCCCCAAGAAUUUCUUGAUAACUACAAAUUUCCGGAACUAAGGCCUUGUGUGGACCUAUUAUGGAAGCGGAGAGCUGGGCAGGCCUGUGCUGUCUGAGUCAUUUGAUCUCUUCUGGUCCAGUAGGAGUGCUGCCACAGUUUUGAGGCCCAGCAGGAUGACACUAGAUUGGGAUGAACUCUGGGUAGACGUAGUCACUAGAAGCAACAGUAGGAAGUACCUUGUGUCUUCCUUCUGGGAUUCAACUCUGAUGUAGCACUAGGGAGCUGUGAGGUAGACCAUAAGCUGAGUGUCGCAGCUCCUGUCCAGGAAGGUCACUUUCAGGACUAGGAAGAGUAGGUUGGCUAAACUAUCAGAAUCUGAUCUGUUGGGACUGGGAUGGAUUGUGAGCAGUCUAUGGUUCUGUUCAUACAUGUAUGUGGUGACCUGGACAGAGGCCCUUGGCCUGUGAGCCUUCCUGAGUUUGAAUUUCCUGCGGGGAGGGGGGUGGAGGAAGAAAGGUUCUGCAGUCCUGGCAGUGGAAAGCUGUGGUUCUUACAAAAUGACUAUCCAGGGCACACACCAAGACACUGCUUUGUAGAUGUAGGGGAAAGACAAUUUUAGAAAGGGAAUUUCUGGUUCUGAACAUUGCAUUCCAAAGAUAGUUUUGUGUAACAAAUUUUACAAAUACUUUAGAAAUUGAUUCACAGGAUGAGAUGAGGUCUACUUGAAAAAAAGAUGAGUACUUGCUGGACGGUAAGAAAUCUGCCAAAUUAGGGUCUAUUUUGAGUUAUUAUUGUGGGUGUUGAGAAUUCUUUGUAUUUUAAUAACUAACUAUUUUAAAUUGAUCAUUCUAUUAGUUUACAUCCCAAAUGAUAUCACCCUUCCUGGUUCCCCCUCCACCACCAUCACAUUGCAAAUACUUCUCUCCCCUCGCUUUGCCUCUAUGAAUGUGCUCUCCCACCAAUACAUCCAUUCCUGCCAUACCACACCAUCAGCCCCCUAUGCUGGAGCAUCAAACCUCCACAGGACCAAGUCCCUCCCCUCCCAUUGAUGGCAGACAAGGCCAUCUUCUGUUACAUGUGUAUCUGGAGCCAUGAUACACUCCUUGGCUGGUGGUCAAGUCCCUGGGAUCUGUGAGUGGUCAUCUCAGCCUACAUUGUUGUUCCUAUGGGGUUGCAAUCCCACUCUGCUCUUCCAGACCUUCCCCUGAGCUCCCCAACCAGGGUCCAGAGCUCAGUAUGAUGUUUGCUGGGCGCAUCCACAUGUGCUCUCAUUAGGUACUACCAGAACCUCCCAGGAAGAGCCAUACCAGGUUUCUGUCUGCAAGAGCCUCUGGGCUACAGCAACAAUGUCCAGAGUCGGAGUUUGGUGUCUGCAGAGGGAAUGGAUGCCCAGUUGGAGUGGUCCUAGGAUGGCCCUGCUUCAGUCUCUACUCCAAUAUUUCAAUAUUUGUCCCUGUCUUUCCUUUGGACAGAGACAUUUCUUUUUUUUUUUUUUUUUCUUUUUUUUUGGUUUUUCAAGACGGGGUUUCUCUGUAUAACCCUGGCUGUCCUGGAACUCACUUUGUAGACCAGGCUAGCCUCGAACUCAGAAAUCUGCCUGCCUCUGCCUCCCAAGUGCUGGGAUUAAAGGCAUGCACCACUACUGCCCGGCUGAGACAUUUCUGGGUUAAAAACUUUGAAAUAGGUGGGUGGCUCCAUCCUUAGACUGGAGGCCAUGCCAAUCUACUGGAGGUGGUCUCUACAGGUUCUAUCCCUCCUUUGCUUCUCAUUUCAGCUAACGUCAUCCCUUUUGGGUCUAAAGUUGUCCCCAUUGUGUCCUGGGAGCCUUUUGCUUCCCUGGCUUCUGGGACUCUCCAGUGGCUACCCCAGUUCCUCAUCCCCCACUGGUACAUAAUAUUAUUCAAUUUCCUGAUCUUCUGUAAUUCUCUCCUGUCCCCUCCAAUACCUCAUCCUGCCCUCUCCCCUUUCCU